UACGAGGGGUGCAAACGUUAUUCGGAAUCACUGGGCGUAAAGGGUGCGUAGACGGCAAGAUAAGUCAAUUAUUAAAUCUCCUGGCUUAACCAGGAAUCUGUGAUUGAAACUGACUUGCUUGAGGAUGGAAGAGAGAAGUGGAAUUCUCGGAGUAGCGGUAAAAUGCGUAGAUCUCGAGAGGAACACCGAUGGCGAAGGCAGCUUCUUGGUCCAUUUCUGACGUUGAGGCACGAAAGCGUGGGGAGCAAACAGG
rnacentral:rRNA from 1 species